rnacentral:sRNA from 1 species
GCCGGAUGCGGUGGCGCACGCCUAUAAUCCCAGCAGCUCAGGAGGCUGAGGCAGGAGGGUCACAAGUUCACAGAGAGGCCUUAAGCAACUCAGUGAGACCCUGUCUCUA